CAGGAGACUGAGGCCUAGGCCGAAGCAGGGCUGUUGCUGCCAAGGACCGAAGGCAGGCUGGCCACCCAGAGGCUGCAGGAUCAAGUCUUUUUGAUAG